ensembl:rRNA 5S_rRNA 5S ribosomal RNA
GCCAGCAGCCAUAUCACCCUGCACCUCACAACUGGCAACCCACUGAAGCUAAGCAGGUGUGAGCCUGGUCAGUACCUGGAUGGGAGAACUCCUGGGAAAAACUAAGGUUGCUGCUGGAA